rnacentral:lncRNA from 1 species
GCAUAAAUAAUGUUUUUCAGGCUACAGUAGCAAAGCGAAAAUAUCAGGAGCGAAGAUCUUUGACCAUGGCUCCUCCGAUCUGUGAAGAAAGUCUGGCUGCUCCUCAGGAGCACCUCACAGAGACCCCUCUCUGAGAACAGGCAGUCUUUUCAUGCCUUUCUACAUUCUGAACUGAAGCAAGUGUUUGUCACCCAGGAAACCUCAGGCCAGGCAGUACGUGGUGGCAGUGCGUGUGUGAAGUGUCUGUGCACGCCUUGCGCGUGGGCUGGAGCCCGCCUUCGGAGAGCCGCCCCACAGCCCCUCCUGAGGCAGCUGCAGCUGCAGGGGAACGUGGCAGUGGAGCAGGAGGUGUCACAGGGAGGGAAGGCCACCCUGGGAGGGGUGGACGGAGGCAGUGCCAGUUCCUCUGGCUCUCAGCAGUGGAGGGCUUCAGACCCUCCUGCUACGAGGGACUGAACGCUACAGAGAGGAGACAGACACAGCUUUUGCCUGCAGGAACUGACCUUGUGCCAGUGACAUCAAUGGAAACAUUGCCAUUGACAUUAUUGGGAAUUGGAUCAGAUGCACAGUUUGCACCAGCCAUGUGAUAGCUGUAGGUAAUGAUAUUUUUCUUAUCACAUUU